rnacentral:rRNA from 1 species
UACGGGGGGGGCAAGCGUUGUUCGGAUUUACUGGGCGUAAAGCGCACGUAGGCGGAUCGUUAAGUCAGGGGUGAAAUCCUGGAGCUCAACUCCAGAACUGCCUUUGAUACUGGCGAUCUUGAGUCCGGAAGAGGUGAGUGGAACUCCUAGUGUAGAGGUGGAAUUCGUAGAUAUUAGGAAGAACACCAGUGGCGAAGGCGGCUCACUGGUCCGGUACUGACGCUGAGGUGCGAAAGCGUGGGGAGCAACAGG